GACGUAGGGCGCGAGCGUUGUCCGGAUUUAUUGGGCGUAAAGAGCUCGUAGGCGGCUCGUUGCGUCGGCUGUGAAAACCCGCAGCUCAACUGUGGGCUUGCAGCUGAUACGGGCGGGCUGGAGUUCGGUAGGGGAGACUGGAAUUCCUGGUGUAGCGGUGAAAUGCGCAGAUAUCAGGAGGAACACCGGUGGCGAAGGCGGGUCUCUGGGCAGUAACUGACGCUGAGGAGCGAAAACGUGGGGAGCGAACAGG
rnacentral:rRNA from 1 species